rnacentral:lncRNA from 1 species
CUUCAAGGAGUGCAGCAGGAGAGGGAAUGCUGCCGAAGGAGGUGGGUUGAGCAGCAUGUGCAAACUUUCCCAUGCGACAGCCGCCGGUGCAGCUGGCGCACAGACUAGAUUAAAGAACAACAUGGGGAUUUUUAAUUUCCUUGUGUGGAGCUGGGAGAUGAAGAGUCACCACGAGAGGAGUUUGCCAGGGGCAGUGAGGAGAUGAGAAUGUCAAGCCCAGUGAGAAACUACUGAAAAGCUCUGGAACGGCAUUUGUAUUCAAAAGGAGUUCUCAUCUCCAGCAUUGGCUGCUCCGGGCACCAACCUGGAGUACAAAAAGAGGUCCCCAGGUCCCUACUGAGAGGACAGCAUCUAAGGAACCCCACUCAAUUACCAUCGUAUGGCUGUCGUCAUUCCCAGUCUCUCUACGUUCGCCACAUGGUGGGAAUUGAACAUAAAGGUGUUCCUCCCAGCAGCAUGCAGGAAUCAAAGCCCUGUGUUGGGCUCUAUCCAUUGCCUAUGGAAUGGGAUUGUACCAUCACUGGGAAACUCAUCACGAAGUGCAUUGGGACUGGGAACAUAAAACCUUAAGGAAGAAUGGAGGAGCAAUCCUAUGCUGGUUGAUCUGGUUGUUCAGUUCCUCUGAGAUUACUCCACUGUUGGGUAUCCCUGGAAGCUGUUGCAAAUGCGACCCUCGUCCUGCUCAGCUUGCAGCGUUAUCUAUCAUCUUUUGGCAGCUACAGCAAGGCUGAAAGUGUGCGUUCAGAG